rnacentral:rRNA from 1 species
UACGGAGGGUGCAAGCGUUAUCCGGAUUCACUGGGCUUAAAGGGUGCGUAGGUGGGCAAGUAAGUCAGUGGUGAAAUCUCCGGGCUUAACCCGGAAACUGCCAUUGAUACUAUUUGUCUUGAAUACUGUUGAGGUCAGCGGAAUAUGUCAUGUAGCGGUGAAAUGCUUAGAUAUGACAUAGAACACCAAUUGCGAAGGCAGCUGGCUAGGCAAAUAUUGGCACUGAGGCACGAAAGCGUGGGGAUCAAACAGG